rnacentral:rRNA from 1 species
GUGCCAGCAGCCGCGGUAAUACGUAGGGUGCAAGCGUUAUCCGGGAAUUAUUGGGCGUAAAGAGCUCGUAGGCGGUUUGUCGCGUCUGUCGUGAAAGUCCGGGGCUCAACUCCGGAUCUGCGGUGGGUACGGGCAGACUAGAGUGAUGUAGGGGAGACUGGAAUUCCUGGUGUAGCGGUGGAAUGCGCAGAUAUCAGGAGGAACACCGAUGGCGAAGGCAGGUCUCUGGGCAUUAACUGACGCUGAGGAGCGAAAGCAUGGGGAGCGAACAGGAUUAGAUACCCUGGUAGUCCAUGCCGUAAACGUUGGGCACUAGGUGUGGGGGACAUUCCACGUUUUCCGCGCCGUAGCUAACGCAUUAAGUGCCCCGCCUGGGGAGUACGGCCGCAAGGCUAAAACUCAAAGAAAUUGACGGGGGCCCGCACAAGCGGCGGAGCAUGCGGAUUAAUUCGAUGCAACGCGAAGAACCUUACCAAGGCUUGACAUGAACCGGAAAGGCGUAGAAAUACGUCCCCCACUUGUGGUCGGUUUACAGGUGGUGCAUGGUUGUCGUCAGCUCGUGUUGUGAGAUGUUGGGUUAAGUCCCGCAACGAGCGCAACCCUCGUUCUAUGUUGCCAGCACGUGAUGGUGGGGACUCAUAGGAGACUGCCGGGGUCAACUCGGAGGAAGGUGGGGAUGACGUCAAAUCAUCAUGCCCCUUAUGUCUUGGGCUUCACGCAUGCUACAAUGGCCGGUACAAAGGGUUGCGAUACUGUGAGGUGGAGCUAAUCCCAAAAAGCCGGUCUCAGUUCGGAUUGGGGUCUGCAACUCGACCCCAUGAAGUCGGAGUCGCUAGUAAUCGCAGAUCAGCAACGCUGCGGUGAAUACGUUCCCGGGCCUUGUACACACCGCCCGUC